rnacentral:lncRNA from 1 species
GGGGUUGAUCGAUCAAUACGAUAAUGGUGUGCGCUUGCAAGUAGGGUUGGACCAUUCAUACCAAGAUCACCAAGACGUAGAUCAAUUUUCUCCACCUUGGGGUAUCUACUUUUCGUAUGUCGCAGCCCCCUACUAGCAUAGUAAAUGAGCUUCUGUACUCCUCCCAGAUGAGGAUUGAGCUCAAGUUGUGGGAGAAAUGGUGAGAUACAAGUGCAAGAUUUCUCUGAUAAAUGGCCUAGUUAGG